GUUAAGUUAAUAAGGGCGCACGGUGGAUGCCUUGGCACUAGGAGCCGAUGAAGGACGUGACUAACUACGAUAAGCUUUGGUGAGCGGUAAGUACGCUAUGACCCAGAGAUUUCCGAAUGGGGAAACCCAACUCGAAGAGAGUUGUCAUUAUCUGAAUACAUAGGAUAAUGACGGAAUACGCUGUGAACUGAAACAUCUCAUUAGCAGCAGGAGAAGAAAGAAAAAUCGAUUCCCUAAGUAGCGGCGAGCGAAAAGGGAAGAGCCCAAACCAGAGUGCUUGCACUCUGGGGUUGUAGGACUGAUAUAUAGGAGUUACAAAAGUGUUUUAUAGCAGAACAAGUUGGGAAGCUUGGCUAUAGAGGGUGAUAGCCCCGUACGCGAAAUAAAGCACCCUCCUUUCAGUAUCCUGAGUACGGCCGGACACGUGAAAUCCGGUCGGAAUCUGCGGGGACCAUCCCGUAAGGCUAAAUACUCCCUAGUGACCGAUAGUGAACCAGUACCGU
rnacentral:rRNA from 1 species